rnacentral:lncRNA from 1 species
GCAUUACCUGAGUUCAGGAGUUGGAGACCAGCCUGGCCAACAUGGUGAAACCCUGUCUCUACUAAAAAUGCAAAAAUGAGCCGGGCAUGGUGGCACGUGCCUGUAAUCACAGCUGCUUGGAUGGCUGAGGCAGGAAAAUCACUUGAACCCAGGAGGCAGAGGUUGCAGUUAGCCAAGAUAGCGCUACUGUACUCCAGCCUGGGUGAACAGAGCGAGACUCCAUCUCAAAAAAAAAAAAAAAAAAAAAUCCA